CAAACGGUUUUUUUCAGAACCACAAAAUUAUUUAACGAUGAAAUAU
rfam:Solenopsis invicta Si_gnG.contig85027, whole genome shotgun sequence.